rnacentral:misc_RNA from 1 species
GGAAGUAAAAGUGUAACAAGGUUUCCGUAGGUGAACCUGCGGAAGGAUCAUUCAUAAUAAAGUGUUUUAUGGCACUUUUUAAAAAUCCAUAUCCACCUUGUGUGCAAUGUUAGAUCUCGUCAUCUUGGCGAGAUUUUUAUACAUCAACUCAUUCUUUAACUAAUUUGUCUGAAAAAUAUUAUGAAUACUUAAUUCAAAAUACAACUUUCAACAACGGAUCUCUUGGCUCUC